CGUAACACGUGAGCAACCUUCCGAAAUAUGGGGGAUAGCCGGCCUAACGGCCGAGUAAUACCACAUACGCUCUCGAUGAGGCAUUUCAUUGAGAGGAAACCUCCGGGGUAUUUCGAGGGGCUCGCGGCCUAUCAGCUAGUUGGCGAGGUAACGGCUCACCAAGGCAACGACGGGUAGCUGGUCUGAGAGGAUGGCCAGCCACAUUGGGACUGAGAUACGGCCCAG
rnacentral:rRNA from 1 species